CCUCCUGCCUCAGCCUCCUGAGCCUCUGGGAUUACAGGCGUGUGCUACUGGCCCUGGCUGGACCAACCUGCUUGAGUCUUGGGGCAGUUUCUGGUUCUUGUCAAGGUAAGCAGGACCCUGCUGGGAUGUGGUGACAAUGGCUAUUUAUUGGGAAAGGACAUAGGGACAGUGAAGGGAAGGCGCAGAAGCCCAGGAGAGACAAGCAACGCGUCAGAGAAAAGGUUUAUUUCGGCUCACGUUUUUGGGGGUUCCAAACUUGUCCCCUGUGAUGAGUCAGCUCACCGUCCCAGAGCACCGGGGUGGGGUCCCCAGUGGCCUAAGGGCCUCCCACCAGGCUCUCUCUCAAAGCCUCCACACCCAGCAUGUCCCUGUGCAUGCAGUCGGGGGGCUGCACCCACCCAGAGGUGGUCUUUGGACAAAUUAGAAAAAGAACGCUGUAGUUGGGCACAGUGGCACACUCCUAUGAUCCCAGAGGCUCAGGAGGCUGAGACAGGAGGAUUGUGAGUUCAAAGCCAGCUUUGCAAUUUAGCGAGGCCCUAAGCAACUUAGUGAGACCCUGUCUCUAAAUUAAAAAAAAAAAAAAAAAUUCUUAAAGGGCUGAGGAUGUGGUUCAGUGGUCAACUGCCCCUGGGUUCAAUCCCUGGUACCAAAAAAGAAAAGAAAGAAAGGGAAGAAAUCUCCUCCCUGGGGAAGUGCAGAGAGGAGGCCAGGCUGGAGUCCAGAUUGCCCCAAGGGCACUGAGAAGGCCUGGGCCCCACAGUUCAGGACUAUUAAGGAGCUUCCUGCAUGGCUCUCCUCCCAUGGAGACGGACAGUACCUCCCAGGACUGUGAUUCCUCCUUGCAAUCCGGAAGAGUCUAACUUGAGUAGCAGGAAAGAAGCCUUAGGAGCUUGUCCCCCCACCCCACCCCCCCCUUCCUCAGGGCUUGUUCUCUCCUGCCAUCCUCCACGUGGCCACCGGAGGGCGCUCUCUAUGCACAAGGCAACUCGGUCCCAGGAGGGGUUCAGGGUGCAGCCCCAGGCCCCCGCAGGCAGCUACCACUGCUUGUUCUUGGGGAGCAGGCUACUGCUCAGCCCUGGGCAUUGCUCAGGCUGUUCUUCCUGCCCCUCUGCAUCUAGGUUCAAUUCAUCUGCCACCCCCCCACACACACCUUCCCUGACCUUCCAACAUGCCUGGUGGGUCAAGGCCUCUGCUGCAUCUUCACAGCUCUUCCUAAAGCUCUCUCUUGGUACUUCUGUGCUGCUUUCAAACCCUAACGAAAAGUUGGAUAACUUGGGCCUUAACAACAGGACCCGCCGUGGAUCGCAGUGCAUUAAACACAGCUCAAUCCAGGACUUCGUAGUGCUGCUAAAAAGAACAACUGAUGGCCCCGAGAGCGCCAAGCAGCAUACACGUGACUCCGAAAACUAACAAAAGGAAGCAUUUAGG
rnacentral:lncRNA from 1 species